rnacentral:lncRNA from 7 species
AAGAAAUGUAGGGACUUUGUAAAAAGAUGACGCGGGACACCAUUGAAAUGAGUGCUUUAAGUAUAGUAUAUAUUCAAUAUUAUAAACACUUGAGCAUGAUGUUAUAUUGGUUAGACAGUUUUGCUUAGUGUCUUUCGCCCUUCUUCCAUCAGGGUGUGAGUUCAAACCCCACCUCUUGCGUCGCUUUUUAACAUACUCCACCUGCUGCAUUGUUUUUUAAUAUUUUACGCUGAGUUGAUUUAGAAGAAAUGUAGGGACUUUUUUGAAAAAAGACGACGCAGGACGACCGUUGAAACUGGUGCUUUAAGUAUAGUAGGGAUAUUACUCUGGUUAUGUACAUGUUUAGAUUUGGACUUCUAAAAAAAUACUUCCUCCAAUCUAAAUUACAAGAUGUUUAGUAUUUUCUAGGUACAUAUAGAGGUGGUAAUGAGCUCUAAACUUUAUAUUAUAAAAGAUCGGAUUAGAAUUGGGUUCUAUUUUUAUUUAAUUUUAAACUAAAAUUAAUUAAGGUUUUAGACAAAAUGUAAAGAAACCUUUAGAUCGUGAUCCAUUACCACCCUGAGGUAUAUAGUUUUGACAUACAAUUAGAUAUAUACAACAUGUUGUCAACCCUGUGACGUCGGAAGGUGUAGGGGAGUCUUCGACGGCGAGCAAGAAGAUGAGCAGCUGUCACACCCGUUUCCCAAGGGCAGAGUCGGGUGCAUAGCAUAUGUGUGUCAGGAUUUAUUUCCACACAUAUGUUGACAUCACAAGUGUAAUAUAUCAAAAGAACAAUGCAUAAAAGCGUAAAUAAGAUUAUAUUAAUAUAUUACACUUCGAACAGAUAUAAUGUCUUAACCUUUAUUCAUCAAAGUACAGCGAAACAUGUAUAUCCAUCCACAAGAAGAUGACUGGGGGUAUCACUAGACUAGCAUCCAUGGAGUUCAGCAUCAUAUCUUCAUCUGCAAACUUCUGAUCAAAAUUAAGCAAGGGUGAGCUCACUUAUGGUCGGGGCUCAGCAAGUGGGGGAAAAACUAAUGCAAGUCUAACAAGGUGAGGCUGAGGUUGAGCAGUAAGCAUUUUAGUUGGUCAACAAUUUAUUAACAACACAUGUCUUACUAAUAAGUGUGAAUCCCAAGUAUUCCCAUUAAACAAAAGUAUAUGAGUAUAUCAAAACACUUAAGUGAAACCACUUAAGCAAACCAUUAGCAGAUCAUUGGAUCUCGAUUUAUUUCCAUCUUCAAGUUCAAUUAUCAUGUGAGGAGUCCAGGCUGCUCAUAAUCGUGAGCACGGCUGAUAUAUCAGUUUUACACUCUGCAGAUGUGGUACAACAUUACCCACAAGUCGUGUAUCCCCUCUAGCCUGGGUCGGCCAAAACUCGUAAACACUUCCGAGGUGAGUGGCUAGGGAUCCACUAUGAGGCUUUCACAAAAUACACUUAAUACAAAGUGAAAGCAUCUAGGCCCCUGGUUGGUUUUAGUGAUUAAUGACAACGUAAUAUUAUAUGUGACUAACGUGUGUUUUGCAGAGACAAAUGGUAAGUUAGGUCGCAUGACAGGUAGAAGUACUACAACGGUGAAAACAAUCCCGGAGAUAAGAACUCGUAUGGAGUCCGAUUGUCAAGGAGAUGUGGACACUCGCGAUUUAGUUAGGUCUUUUAUUCUCUUUUAGCCGUACUAUAAAGAGGGGUUGUCGAUGAGUAGUUUGACCAAGAGAGUUCUAGUGUAGUGUUGGUGCACAAUCACACUCAUAUACAGUGCUAGGUGUCACUUUAGAACUCACUCACAAUAUAGAACGAAAACCGAUUUGAAAAUCAACUGAAAAACAAGAAGUAGGGUUUCUGUCCCUGGGGGCACCGGACUGUCCGGUGUGCACCGGACUGUCCGGUGCACCCUGCCAGGUGCGGCCUAGGCUGGUCCGGGGAAGAAGCUUCCCUUCCCAGAAAACCCGAGAGCGCCUGUUUCGGAAUUGAAUUUUAGUGGCGCACCGGACAUCUCACUGGACUGUCCGGUGUGCACCGGACAGUGACUGUUCACUGUCCGGUGUGCCAUGAGUCCAACGGCUAGCUAUCAGAACUAGCCGUUGGAAAUGAUCGUUGGCGCACCGGUGGCGCACCGGACUGUCCGGUGCGCUAUUGCACAGAAAGUUGCUGGUAACGGCUAGUUGGUGGGUGAGGGCUAUUUAUACCCCUUCCACCCACCAUAUUCAAUGUCUUGCACCCCACAUUUAUUCCAGCACAUUGCUAGAGCAUUGCAAGCACCAAAAGCCUAGUGAGGAGAUUAGCGAAUCUUAAUCCGCGUUUGUUCCUCAUUAGCGCUAGUGAGAGCCACCUAGAGCACACACCACUUGCAUUAGGCUUCUCUUGGUCAAGCGAAAGUCUACAGCUUGUUACUCUUGGUGAUCGGCAUCACCUAGACGGCUUGGUGGCGUUGGGAGCUCGGUGAUCACCGUGAAGAUCUUGUUGGUGACCCGACUCAAGUUUGUAAGCGGUCUCGAGGGAUCCACCGCGCCGGAGUGGCAAAGGAGCAUCUCGUAGUGAGCACUUGGUUCUUGCGAGGACCAAGGGGGAGCGAUACCCUUGCGCGGGUGCUCCAACGAGGACUAGUGGAGAGUGCCGACUCUUCGAUACCUCGGGAAAAAUUGGAGGAGUCUUCUAAACCUUGUUUUACAUUCCACACUUAAUUCAAGCACUUUACAUUGUGUAGCAAGUAUUUGAAGUAUUGUCUUAGCAUUGUUGCAUUUCUAGUAUUAUAUUCUUAGUGCUAGUUGUUGGGGUGAAGUUGGGCUCUUGCUUAGCUCUUGCUUAGGUUUUAAUUAGUGUUGAUUUUUAGAAAAGCCCAAUUCACCCCCCCUCUUGGGCAUCGUGAUCCUUUCACAAAGCAACCCGCUAAGGUUUCUAAAGACGAUGGUGGUGGCCCCCUGGGUGAGGUACCUUAGCCAAGAAUACGUCCCCAUGUUAAUGUGGGCUGCCAACACCUACCGCUCCCUGAAAGGGAAUUAGGCUUACACCUAUUUCCUAAUUGAUUUUGGUGGUUAAAUUGUCCAACACAAAUAAUUGGACUAACUAGUUUGCUCUAUUUUAUAAGUUCUACAGGUGCCAAAGGUUCACAAUAAGCCAAUAAAAAGACCAAGAAAAAGGGUUCAAACAAAAGAGCAAAGGGACAACCGAAGGCACCCUGGUCUGGCGCACCGGACUGUCCGGUGCACCAGGGUGUAAUACCCAACUUUGAAAUAUAAGAGAAAGAAAUGAAUCUUCAUGUGUAGUACCUUUUCAUUCAUGAAAAUUAUUAGAAGACAAAGAUAAAGUGGAUAAUUCCUUAAUAAAAUGUGCAUCAUGCUGAAGUUAUUUGGUGUGUGUGCAUUCACUGAAAAUAGUGAUUACAUCAAUGGGAAUUAAGACUUGGUUUACAAUUUAGAAUUUGAAAUAAUAAAGAAAGAGAGAAAAGAUGCCAUGAAGGAAAUACAUACACAAACAAUUAUACCUUGUUCAUCACUAGAUUUGAAUUUGUACAAUUGAAAUAUGAACGAGUCAAAACCAAAAUUUAAAGUCACAAUUUGAAAUUCAAAAUGAGAAAAAGGAAAU